GAAUGGACUUAACUCAAGUGUAGUUGCAUUUGUAGAAAAGAUCAUUCUCUAUUUAAUUUUUUUUUUGUCCCUAUUAUAUCUUAUAUUUUGUUUCCAUUUUCUCAUCAUAUAAUUAAGUUAAGUGUGGCAUGAUUGUGAAGUGUAGGAGAGCUUAAAAGGGCCAAAGUCUUAUUCAUUGCAACUUCUUCUCUUCAUGUUUUUGGCCCUCUUAUCUCCAAAUUGUAUGUUGGUUGCUUUAGCUCAGAUAGAGCCAGCAAUAUCUUGUUUCUAUUGGAAA
rnacentral:misc_RNA from 1 species